UACAGAGGGGGCAAGCGUUGUUCGGAAUUACUGGGCGUAAAGGGCGCGUAGGCGGCCUGUUAAGUCGAACGUGAAAUCCCCGGGCUCAACCCGGGAACUGCGUCCGAUACUGGCAGGCUUGAAUCCGGGAGAGGGAUGCGGAAUUCCAGGUGUAGCGGUGAAAUGCGUAGAUAUCUGGAGGAACACCAAUGGCGAAGGCAGCUCGCUGGGACGGUACUGACGCUGAGGCGCGAAAGCGUGGGGAGCAAACAGG
rnacentral:rRNA from 1 species